UCAGUCCAUGUGUUAGUAGUGUAUGUGUGUGGUGUGUGUGUUUGACAUGUGUAGUGUAGUGUAUGUGUGUGGUGUGUGUGUGCAGUGUGUUUGUGAAUUGUAUGUAUGCGGUGUGUGUGUGCGGUGCAGUGUGUGGGGGGGUGUUUUUGUAGAAUACGUGUGUGCAGUGCAGGUUUUUGUAGUGUACGUGUGUAGUGUUUGUGUUUGGUGUGUGUGUGUGGUGUGUUUGUGUUUGCUGGAUGUGUGUUGUAUAUGUGUGUGGUGUGUGUGUGCAGUGUGUGUGUGCGGUGAGUGUAGUGUAGUGUAUUUGUGUGUAGUGUCGCGGUGUAUGAAUUUGUAGUGUAUGUGUGUGUUGUUUGGUUUGGGAAGUUUGUGUUUACUGUAUGUGUGUGGUGUGUGUGUAGUGUAUGUUUGUUGCGUAUGUUUGUGGUGUAUGUGUGCGGUGUGUGUGUGUGAGGUAAGCGUGUUUGUAUUGUGUCUGUGCAGUCGAUGUGUUAGUAAUUUAUGUGUGUGGUGUGUGUGUUUGAAGUGUGUAGUAUAGUGUAUGUGUGUGGUGUGUGUGUGCAGUGUGCUUGUGUAUUGUAUGUAUGCGGUGUGUGUGUGCAGUGUAUGUGUUUGUAGUGUAUGUUUGUUGUGUAUGUGUACAGUGUGUUGUGUGUAUUUGGUGAGUUUGUGUUUCCUGUUUCUGUGGUGUAUUUUGUAGUGUAUGUUUGUUUUGUAUGUGUGCAGUGUGCAGAGUGUUUGUGUGCGUUUUGUGCGUGUUUUUAUUGUAUGUGUGCAGUCCAUGUGAUGGUAUUGUUUGUGUGUGGUGUAUGUGUUUGACGUGUGUAGUGCAGUGUAUGUGUAUGGUGUGUGUGUGCAGUGUUUCUAUAUUGUAUGUAAGCAGUGGGUAUGUGCGUUGUGUGUGUGCGGUGAGUGUGUGCCAUGUGUGUUUUUAGUGUGUGUGGGUGCGGUGUAGGUUUUUGUAGAGUAUUGUGUAGUGUGUGUGUGUGUAGUGUAUGUCUAUAGUGUAUGUUUGUGGUGUAUUUGUGUGGUGUGUGUGUGUUUUGUGAAUGUAUGCGGUGUGUGUGUAUUUGCGGUGUGUGUGUUUGUAUUGUGUGUGUGCUGACCAUGUAUUAGUAGUGUAGGUGUGUGGUGUGUGUGUUUGACAUGGAUAGUGUAGUGUAUUUGCGUGGUGUGUGUGUGCAGUUGUUUCUGAAUUGUAUGUAUGCGGUGUUUGUGAGCGGUGUGUGUGUUCAGUGUGUGUCUGCGGGGUGUCUUUGUAGCAUGUUUGUGUGCUGUAGUGUGUCUGUUUGGUGUGUUUGCGUUUGCUGGAUGUGUGUAGUGUAUGUGUGUGGUGUGUGUGUGUGCAGUGUGUGUAGUGUAUUGUAUGUGUGUGGUGUGUGUGCGGUGUAUGUGUUUGUAGUGUAUGUGUGUGUUGUUUGCGUUUGGUGAGUUUGUGUUUACUGUAUGUGUGUGGAGUGUGUGUAGUUUAUGUUUGUUGUGUAUGUUUGUGGUGUAUGUGUGCAGUGUGUGUGUGUUUUGUCUGUAUGCGGUUUGUGUGUGAGGUAUGCGUGUUUGUAUUGUGUCUGUGUAGUCCAUGUACUGGUAGUGUAUGUUUGUGGUGUGUGUUUGACAUGUGUACUCUGGUGUACGUGUGUGCUGUGUGUUUGCAUUGUGAUUGUGAAUUGUAUGUAUGCGGUGUGUCUAUGUGGUGCAGUGUGUCUGGGGUGUGUGUGUUUGUAGUAUAUGUGUGUGCGGUGUAGGAUUUGUAGUGUAUUCUGUAGUGUGUGUGUUUGGUGUGUUUGUGGUUACUGUAUGUGUGUGGUGUGUGUGUUUGGUGUGUUUGUGUUUGCUGGAUGUGUGUGGUGUAUGUGUGGUGUGUGUGCGGUGUGUGUCUGCGGUGUGUGUAGUGUGGUGUAUGUGUGUGGUGUGUGUGCGGUGUAUGUGUUUGUAGUGUAUGUGUGUGUUGUUUGUGUUUGGUGAGUUUGUGAUUACUGUAUGUGUGUGAUAUUUGUGUAUAUGUUUGUUGUGUAUGUUUGUGGUGUAUGUGUGUGGUGUGUGUUGGGGGUGUAUGUGUGCAGUGUCUUUGUGGAGUGAAUGUAUGCGGUGUGGGUGUGCAGUAUGUGUGUGUGCGGUGUAGAUGUUUGUAGUGUGCGUGUGCAGUGUGUGUAGUGUGGUGUAUGUGUGUGGUGUGUGUGCGGUGUAUGUGUUUGUAGUGUAUAUAUGUGUUGUUUGUGUUUGGUGAGUUUGUGUUUACUGUAUGUGUGUGGUAUUUGUGUAGUGUAUGUUUGUUGUCUAUGUUUGUGGUGUAUGUGUGUGGUGUGUGUGUAUGACGUGUGUAGUAUAGUGUAUGUGUGUAGUGUGUGUGUGCAGUGUUCUUGUGUAUUGUAUGUAUGCGGUGUUUGUGUGCAGUGUGUGUGCGGUGUGUGUGAUUGUAGUAUGUGUGUGCACGGUGUAUGUGCUUGUACUGUAUGUGUGUCUUGUGUUUGGUGUGUUUGUUUUUAUUGUAUGUGUGUGGUGUGUGUGGUGUAUGUGUGGGGUGUAUGUGUGCAGUGUGUUUGUGGAGUGAAUGUAUGCGGUGUGGGUGUGCGGUAUGUGUGGGCGGUGUAGAUGUUAGUAGUGUGCAUGUGCGGUGUAUGUGUUUAUAGUGUAUGUGUGAGUUGUGUGUUUGGUGUGUUUGUCUCUAUGUGUGCUGUGUGUGUGUUUGGUGUGUGGGUUUGGUGUGUGUAAUAUAGUGUAUGUGUGUGGUGUGUAUGUGUGUAGUGUGUGUGGUGUAUGUGUGCAGUGCGUUUGUGUAGUUUCUGUAUGCUGUGUGUGUUUGAGGCUUGUGUGUGCGGUGUGUAUGUUUGUAGUGUGUUGUGCAUUGUAUAUGUGUAUAGUAUACGUGUGUAUGUAUGUAUGUAUGCGUUAAGUGUGUGUGCGAUGUGCGUGUUUGUAUUGUGUGUGUGUGUGUAGUCAAUGUAUCCGGUGUGUGUGUGGGGGUAUCUGUUUGUGGUGUGUAUAUUUGUACUGUGUGUGUGUGAUUUCUAUGUUUAUACUGUGUGUGGUAUGUGUGGUGUGUUUGGUUUUAUAGUAUGUGUGAGGGUGUGUAUGUGUGCUGUGUUUUUGCAGUGUAUGUGUUUGUUGUUGUAUGUGUGUUGUGUGUUAUUUGGUAUGUGUGUGUAAUGUGUGUGUGUUGUGUGUGUUUGGUGUGUGUAGUGUAAUGAAUAUGUGUGGUGUGUGUGGUGUAUGUGUUUGUAGUGUAUAUGUGUGUUGUGUGUGUUUGGUGAGUUUGAGUUUACUCUAUGUGUGUGAGGAGUGUCUUUUUGUAGUGUAUGUUUGUGGUGUAUGUGUGAGGUGUAUGUGUUUGUUGUAUGUGUGUGGUGUGUUAUUUGUUAUGUGUGUGUAGCGUGUGUGUUUUGUGUGUGUUUGGUGUGUGUAGUGUAAUGUAUGUGUGUGGUGUGUGUGUGCAGUGUGUGUGUUUGUAGUGUAUGUUUGUUGUGUAUGUGUACAGUGUGUUGUGUGUGUUUGGUGAGUUUGUGUUUCCUGUUAGUGUGGUGUAUUUUGUAGUGUAUGUUUGUUUUGUAUGUAUGCAGUGUGCGGAGUGUUUCUGUGCGUUUUGUGCGUGUUUGUAUUGUAUGUGUGCAGUCCAUGUGAUGGUAUUGUAUGUGGUGUAUGUGUUUGACGUGUGUAGUGUAGUGUAUGUGUAUGGUGUGUGUGUGCAGUGUUUCUGUAUUGUAUGUAAGCGGUGUGUAUGUGCGGUGUGUGUGUGCGGUGUGUGGUUUUAGUGUGUGGGUGCGGGGUAGGUUUUUGUAGAGUAUUGUGUAGUGGGUGUGUGUAGUGUAUAUUUGUAGUGUAUGUUUGUGGUGUAUUUGUGCGGUGUGUGUGUGUUUUGUGUAUGUAUGCGGUGUGUGUGUAUUUGCGGUGUGUGUUUGUAUUGUGUGUGUGCUGACCAUGUAUUAGUAGUGUAGGUGUGUGGUGUGUGUGUUUGACAUGUGUAGUGUAGUGUAUUUGCGUGGUGUGUGUGUGCAGUUGUUUCUGAAUUGUAUGUAUGCGGUGUUUGUGAGCGGUGUGUGUGUGCAGUGUGUGUCUGCGGGGUGUGUUUGUAGCAUGUUUUUGCGCUGUAGGUUUUUGUAGUGUAUGUGUGUAGUGUGUGUGUUUGGUGUGUUUGUGUUUGCUGGAUGUGUGUAGUGUAUGUGUGUGGUGUUUGUGUGCAGUGUGUAUGUGAGGUGUGUGUAGUGUAGUGUAUGUGUGUGGUGUGUGUGCCGUGUAUGUGUUUGUAGUGGAUGUGUGUGUUGUUUGUGUUUGGUGAGUUUGUGUUUACUGUAUGUGUGUGAUGUGUGUGUAGUGUAUGCUUGUUGUGUAUGUUUGUUGUGUAUGUGUGCGGUGUGUGUGAGGUAUGCGUGUUUGUAUUGUAUCUGCGCAGUCCAUGUGUUAGUAGUGUAUGCUUGUGGUGUGUGUGUUUGACAUGUGUCUGUAGUGUAUGUGUGUGCUGUGUGUGCAUUGUGAUUGUGAAUUGUAUGUAUGCGGUGUGUCUGUGCGGUGCAGUGUGUGUGGGAUGUGUGUUUGUAGUAUAUAUGUGUGCGGUGUAGGUUUUUGUAGUGUAUGUGUGUAGUGUGUGUGUUUGGUGUGUUUGUGGUUACUGUAUGUGUGUGGUGUGUGUGUUUGGUUAGUUUGUGUUUACUGUAUGUGUGUGUAGUGUAUUUUUGUAGUGUAUGUUUGUUGUGUAUGUGUGCAGUGUGUGUGUGUAAUGUAUGUAUGCGGAGGGUUUGUGUGCAUUGUGCGUGUUUGUAUUGUAUGUGUGCAGUCAUGUGAUGGUAUUGUAUAUGUGGGGUGUGUGUGUUUGACGUGUCUAGUGUAGUGUAUAUGUAUGGUUUGUGUGUGCAGUGUGUUUCUGUAUUGUAUGUAUGCUGUGUGUAUGUGCGGUGUGUGUGCGGUGUGAGUGUGUGCGAUGUGUGUUUUUAGUGUGUGUGUGUGCGGUGUAGGUUUUUGUAAAGUAUGUGUGUAGAGUGUGUGUGUAGUGUAUGUUAGUGUGUAUUUGUGCUGUGUGUGUGAAGUGUGUUUUUGAAUUGUCUGUAUGCGGUUUGUGUGAGCAGUGUGUGUGUGCCUUGUGUUGGGGGUGUGUGUGUUUGUAGUAUGUGUGUGUGUGGUGUAGGUUUUUGAAGUGUAUUGUGUAGUGUGUGUGUUUGACUUGUGUAGUGUAGUGUAUGUGUAUGGUGUGUGUGCAGAGUGUUUCUGUAUUGUAUUAUGCGGUGUGUAUGUGCGGUGUGUGUGUGCGGUGUGUGUGUGCGGUGUGUGUUUUUCAUGUGUGUGUGUGCGGUGUAGGUUUUUGUAGAGUAUGUGAGUAGUGUGUUUGUUUAGUGUGUGUGUAUUGUAUGUUUGUGGUGUAUUCAUUCGGUGUGUGUGUGCAGUGCAUUUGUGAAUUGUAUGUAUGUGGUGUGUGUGAGCGGUGUGUGUGUGAAGUGUGUGUGUGCGGUGUGUUUGUGUUUGCUGGAUGUGUGUGUUGUGUAUGUGUGUGGUGUGUGUGCAGAUGUGUGCAGUGUGUAUAGUGUAGUGUAUGUGUGUGGUGUGUGUGCGGUGUAUGUGUUUGUAGUGUAUGUGUGUGUUGUUUGUGUUUGGUGAGUUUGUGUUUACUGUAUGUGUGUGUUGUUUGUGUAGUGUAUGUUUGAUGUGUAUGUUUGUGGUGUAUCUGUGCCGUGUGAGUGUGUGUUCUGUUUAUGUAUGUGUUUGAGUGUGUGAGGUAUGCUUGCUUGUAUUGUGUCUGUGCAGUCCAUGUGUUAAUAGUGUAUGUGUGUGGUGUGUGUGUAUGAAGUGUGUAGUAUAGUGUAUGUGUGUGGUGUGUGUGUGCAGUGUGCUUGUGUAUUGUAUGUAUGCGGUGUUUGUGUGCAGUGUGUGUGCGGUGUGUUUGAUUGUAGUAUGUGUGUGUACGGUAUGUGUGUGUUGUGUUUGUUUGGUGUGUUUGUGUUUACUGUAUGUGUGUGGUGUGUGUGUGGUGUAUGUGUUGGGUGUAUUGUGCAGUGUGUUUGUGGAGUGAAUGUAUGCGGUGUGUGGGUGCGGUAUGUGUGUGCAGUGUGGAUAUUUGUAGUGUGCCUGUGCGGUGUAUGUGUUUAUAGUGUAUAUGUGUGGUGUAUUUUUGGUGUUUUUGUCUUUACUGUAUGUGUGUUGUGUGUGUGUGGUGUGUUUAAUAUAGUGUAUGUUUGUGGUCUGUGUGUGUCGUGUAUGUGUGCAGUGCGUUUCUGUAGUUUAUGUAUGCUGUGUGUGUGUGCGGUAUGUGUGUGCGGUGUGUAUGUUGGUAGUGUGUUGUGCGGUGUAUAUGUGUAUAGUGUAUGUGUAUUGUGUGUGUGUGUAGUGUAUGUAUGCAUUAUGUGUGUGUGCGAUGUGCGUGUUUGUAUUGUGUGUGCAUUCCAUUUGAUGGUAGUGUAUGUGUGUGGUGUGUGCGUUUGACGUGUGUAGUGUAGUGUAUGUGUGUGGUGUGAGUGUGUGCAACGUGUUUCUGUAUUGUAUGUAUGCAGUGUGUGUGUGCGUUGUUUGUGUGCGGUGUCUGGGGAUGUAGUGCGUGUGUUUGUGGUGUAGGUUUUUGUAGUGUAUGUGUGUAGUGCGUGUGUUUGGUGUGUUUUUUGAUGUAUGUGUAUGUGUGUGCUGUGUGUGUGCAUUGUGAUUGUGAAUUGUAUGUAUGCGGUGUGUCUGUGCGGUGCAGUGUGUGUGGUGUGAGUGUGUGCAACGUGUUUCUGUAUUGUAUGUAUGCAGUGUGUGUGUGCGUUGUUUGUGUGCGGUGUCUGGGGAUGUAGUGCGUGUGUUUGUGGUGUAGGUUUUUGUAGUGUAUGUGUGUAGUGCGUGUGUUUGGUGUGUUUUUUGAUGUAUGUGUAUGUGUGUGCUGUGUGUGUGCAUUGUGAUUGUGAAUUGUAUGUAUGCGGUGUGUCUGUGCGGUGCAGUGUGUGUGGGGUGUGUGUGUUUGUAGUAUAUGUGUGUGCAGUGUACGUUUUUGUAGUGUAUGUGUGUAGUGUGUGUGUUUGGUGUGUUUGUGGUUACUGUAUUUGCGUGGUGUGUGUGUUUGUUGUGUUUGUGUUUGCUGGAUGUGUGUGGUGUAUGUGUGGUGUGUGUGUGCAGUGUGUGUGUGAGGUGUGUGUAGUGUGGUGUAUGUGUGUGGUGUGUGUGCGGUGUAUGUGUUUGUAGUGUAUGUGUGUGUUGUUUGUGUUUGGUGAGUUUGUGUUUAUCGUAUGUGUGUGGUAUUUGUCUAGUGUAUGUUUGUUGUGUAUGUUUGUGGUGUAUGUGUGUGGUGUGUGUGUAUGACGUGUGUAGUAUAGUAUAUGUGUUUGGUGUGUGUGUUUGGUGUGUUUGUGUUUGCUGGAUGUGUCUGGUGUAUGUGUGUAGUGUCUGUUUGCAGUGUGUGUGUGUGCGGUGUGUGUAGUGUUGUAUAUGUGUGUGGUGUGUGUGCCGUGUAUGUGUUUGUAGUGUAUGUGGGUGUUGUUUGUGUUUGGUGAGUUUGUGCUUACUGUAUGUGUGUGGUAUUUGUGUAGUGUAUGUUUGUUGUGUAUGUUUGUGGUGUAUUGUGUGGUGUGUGUGUAUGACGUGUGUAGUGUAGUGUAUGUGUGUGGUGUAUGUGUGCAGUGUGCUUGUGUAUUGUAUGUAUGCGGUGUUUGUGUGCAGUGUGCGUGCGGUGUGUGUGAUUGUAGUAUGUGUGUGUACGGUGUAUGUGUUUGUACUGUAUGUGUGUUUUGUGUUUGUUUGGUGUGUUUGUGUUUACUGUAUGUGUGUGGUGUGUGUGUGGUGUAUGUGUGGGGUGUAUGUGUGCAGUUCGUUUGUGUAGUUUCUGUAUGCUGUGUGUGUGUUAGGUAUGCAGUGUGGGUUUGCCGUAUGUGAGUGUGGUGUAGAUGUUUGUAGUGUGCGUGUGCGGUGUAUGUGUUUAUAGUGUAUGUGUGAGGUAUGUGUUUGGUGUGUUUGUGUGUGUGUUGUGUGUGUCUGUGUGUUGUGUGUGUGGUGUGUGUGUUUGGUGUGUGUAAUAUAGUGUAUGUGUGUGGUGUGUAUGUGUGUGGUGUAUGUGUGCAGUUCGUUUGUGUAGUUUCUGUAUGCUGUGUGUGUGUGUGUGAGGUAUGUGUGUGCAGUAUGUAUGUUUGUUGUGUGUUGUGUGGUGUAUAUGUGUAUAGUGUAUGUGUAUCAUGUGUGUGUGUGUGUAGUGUAUGUAUGCGUUAUAUGUGUGUGCGAUGUGCGUGUUUGUAUUGUGUGUGUGCAUUCCAUGUGAUGGUAGUGUAUGUGUGUGGUGUGUGUGUUUGACGUGUGUAGUGUAGUGUAUGUAUACAGUGUGUGUGUGCGUUGUUUGUGUGCGGUGUCUGUUUGUUGUGUGUGUUUGUGGUGUAGAUUUUUGUAGUGUAUGUGUGUAGUGCGUGUAUUUGGAGUGUUUUUUGAUGUAUGUUUGUGCAGUGUGAGAAGUGUAAGUUUAUAAAGCAUGCGUUGUGUGUGUGCUUUGCUUGUGUGCGGUGUGUGUGUGUAGUGCAUGUGUGAGGUGUAUGUGUGUAGUGUGUGUGUGUAGUCAAUGUAUUCGGUGUCUGUGUGGGGGGUAUCUGUUUGCGGUGUGUAUAUUUGUACUGUGUGUGUGCGAUUUCUAUGUUUAUAUUGUAAGUGUGUGGUGUGUGUGUUUGGUGUGUUUGGGUUUAUUGUAUGUGUGAGGUGUGUGUGUGUGUGUGUGUGCUGUGUUUUUGUGGUGUAUGUGUUUUUUGUUGUAUGUGUGUGGUGUGUUAUUUGGUAUGUGUGUGUGUUGUGUGUGUUUGGUGUGUGUAGUGUAAUGUAUGUGUGUGUUGUGUGUGGUGUAUGUGUUUGUAGUGUAUAUGUGUGUUGUGUGUGUUUGGUGAGUUUGUGUUUACUCUAUGUGUGUGAGUAGUGUCUUUUUGUAGUGUAUGUUUGUGGUGUAUGUGUGCGGAGUAUGUGUUUGUUGCUGUAUGUGUGCGGUGUGUUAUUUGUUAUGUGUGUGUAGCGUGUGUGUUUUGUGUGUGUUUGGUGUGUGUAGUGUAAUGUAUGUGUGUGGUGUGUGUGUGCAGUGUGUGUGUUUGUAAUGUAUGUUUGUUGUGUAUGUGUACAGUGUGUUGUGUGUGUUUGGUGAGUUUGUGUUUACUGUAUGUGUGUGUAGUGUAUUUUUGUAGUGUAUGUUUGUUGUGUAUGUGUGCAGUGUGUGUGUGUAAUGCAUGUAUGCGGAGUGUUUGUGUGCGUUGUGCGUGUUUGUAUUGUAUGUGUGCACUCAUGUGAUGGUAUUGUAUAUGUGUGGUGUGUGUGUUUGACGUGUGUAGUGUAGUGUAUGUGUAUGGUGUGUGUGUGCAGUGUGUUUCUGUAUUGUAUGUAUGUGGUGUGUAUUUGCAGUGUGUGUGUGCGGUGUGUGUGCGAUGUGUGUUAUUAGUGUGUGUGUUUGUGUGUGCGGUGUAGGUUUUUGUAGAGUAUGUGUGUAAUGUGUGUGUGUAGUGUAUGCUUGUGUUUAUUUGUGCGGUGUGUGUGUGUGAAGUGUGUUUGUGAAUUGUAUGUAUGCGGUGUGUGUGUGCCUUGUAUGUGGUGGUGUGUGUGUUUGUAGUAUGUGUGUGUGUGGUGUAGGUUUUUGAAGUGUAUGUGUGUAGUGUGUGUGUUUGACAUGUGUAGUGUAGUGUAUGUGUAUGGUGUGUGUGCAGAGUGUUUCUGUAUUGUAUUAUGCGGUGUGUAUGUGCGGUGUGUGUGUGCGGUGUAUGUGUGUGGUGUGUGUUUUUAAUGUGUGUGUGUGCGGUGUAGGUUUUUGUAGAGUAUGUGAGUAGUGUGUUUUUUUAGUGUGUGUGUGUAGUGUAUAUUUGGGGUGUUUUUUUUUCGGUGUUUGUGUGCAGUGCAUUUGUGAAUUGUAUGUAUGCGGUGUGUGUGAGCGGUGUGUGUGUGAAGUGUGUGUGUGCGGUGUGUGUUUGUAGUAUGUGUGUGCGGUGUAGGUUUUUGUAGUGUAUGUUUGUAGUGUGUGUGUUUGGUGUGUUUGUGGUUACUGUAUGUGUGUGGUGUGUGCGUUUGACGUGUGUAGUGUAGUGUAAGUGUGUGGUGUGUGUGUGCAACGUGUUUCUGCAUUGUAUGUAUGCAGUGUGUGUGUGCGUUGUUUGUGUGCGGUGUCUGUGUUUGUUGUGUGUGUUUGCGGUGUAGGUUUUUGUAGUGUAUGUGUGUAGUGCGUGUGUUUGGUGUGUUUUUUGAUGUAUGUUUGUGCAGUGUGAGAAGUGUAAGUUUAUAAAGCAUGCGUUGUGUGUGUGCUUUGCUUGUGUGCGGUGUGUGUGUGUAGUGCAUGUGUGAGGUGUAUGUGUGCAGUGUGUGUGUGUAGUCAAUGUAUGCGAUGUCUGUGUGGGGGGUAUCUGUUUGCGGUGUGUAUAUUUGUACUGUGUGUGUGCUAUUUCUAUGUUUAUACUGUGUGUGGUGUGUUUGUUUGGUGUGUUUGGGUUUAUUGUAUGUGUGAGGUGUGUGUGUGUGUGUGUGUUGUGUUUUUGCGGUGUAUGUGUUUGUUGUAUGUGUGUGGUGUGUUAUUUGGUAUGUGUGUGUAAUGUGUGUGUGUUGUGUGUGUUUGGUGUGUGUAGUGUAAUGUAUGUGUGUGGUGUGUGUGGUGUAUGUGUUUGUAGUGUAUAUGUGUGUUGUGUGUGUUUGGUGAGUUUGAUUUUACUCUAUGUGUGUGAGUAGUGUCUUUUUGUAGUGUAUGUUUGUGGUGUAUGUGUGCGGAGUAUGUGUUUGUUGUUGUAUGUGUGUGGUGUGUUAUUUGUUAUGUGUGUGUAGCGUGUGUGUUUUGUGUGUGUUUGGUGUGUGUAGUGUAAUGUAUGUGUGUGGUGUGUGUGUGCAGUGUGUGUGUUUGUAGUGUAUGUUUGUUGUGUAUGUGUACAGUGUGUUGUGUGUGUUUGGUGAGUUUGUGUUUCCUGUUUGUGUGGUGUAUUUUGUAGUGUAUGUUUGUUUUGUAUGUGUGCAGUGUGCGGAGUGUUUGUGUGCGUUUUGUGCGUGUUUGUAUUGUAUGUGUGCAGUCCAUGUGAUGGUAUUGUAUGUGUGUGGUGUAUGUGUUUGACGUGUGUAGUGUAGUGUAUGUGUAUGGUGUGUGUGUGCAGUGUGUUUCUGUAUUGUAUGUAAGCGGUGUGUAUGUGCGGUGUGUGUGUGCGGUGUGUGUUUUUAGUGUGAGUGGGUGCUGUGUAGGUUUUUGUAGAGUAUUGUGUUGUGUGUGUGUAUAGUGCAUGUUUGUGGUGUAUUUGUGCAGUGUGUGUGUUUUGUGUAUGUAUGCUGUGUGUGUGUAUUUGCGGUGUGUGUUUGUAUUGUGUGUGUGCUGACCAUGUAUUAGUAGUGUAGGUGUGUGUUGUGUGUGUUUGACAUGUGUAGUGUAGUGUAUUUGCGUGGUGUGUGUGUGCAGUUGUUUCUGAAUUGUAUGUAUGCUGUGUUUGUGAGCGGUGUGUGUUUGCAGUGUGUGUCUGCGGGGUGUGUUUGUAGCAUGUUUGUGCGCUGUAGGUUAUUGUAUUGUAUGUGUGUAGUGUAUGUGUUUGGUGUGUUUGUGUUUGCUGGAUGUGUGUAGUGUAUGUGUGUGGUGUGUGUGCGGUGUAUGUGUUUGUAGUGUAUGUGUGUGUUGUUUGCGUUUGGUGAGUUUGUGUUUACUGAAUGUGUGUGAUGUGUGUGUAGUUUAUGUUUGUUGUGUAUGUGUGCAGUGUGUGUGUGUUGUGUAUGUAUGCGGUGUGUGUGUGUGAGGUAUGCGUGUUUGUAUUGUGUCUGUGCAGUCCAUGUGUUAGUGGCGUAUGUGUGUGGUGUGUGUGUUUGACAUGUGUAGUGUAGUGUAUGUGUGUGGUGUGUGUGCAGUGUAUUUGUGAACUGUAUGUAUGUGGUGUGUGUAUGUGCGGUGCAUUGUGUGUGGGGGUGUGUGUGUGUGUGUGUGUGUGUGUGUCUGUAGUAUAUGUGUGUGCGGUGUAGGUUUUUGUAGUGUAUGUGUAUAGUGUGUGUGUUUGGUGUUUGUGUUUACUGUAUGUGUGUGGUGUGUGUGUUUGGUGUGUUUGUGUUUGCUGGAUGUGUCUGGUGUAUGUGUGUGGUGUGUGUGUCGUGUAUGUGUUUGUAGUGUAUGUGUGAGGAAUAGAGGAGGGCAUGUAAGGAGAUGCCUUGACAGACGGAGACAGUACAGGUUUGGAGAGAGGGCUGGCACAGGGGAAAAGUUAGUGAAUCCACUGGGAUGACCCCAACUAAGAAUUUAGGCAGUGGUGGAGAGUUUGCGUUUGGUGCGUUUGUGUUUACUGUAUUGUGUGAUGUGUGUGUAGUGUAUGUUUGUUGUGUAUGUUUGUUGUGUAUGUGUGCGGUGUGUGUGUGUUUUGUAUGUAUGCGGUGGGUGUGUGAGGUAUGCGUGUUUGUAUUGUGUCUGUGCAGUCCAUGUGUUAGUAGUGUAUGUUUGCGGUAUGUGUGUUUGACAUGUGUACUGUAGUUUAUGUGUGUGCUGUGUGUGUGCAUUGUGAUUGUGAAUUGUAUGUAUGCGGUGUGUCUGUGCGGUGCAGUGUGUGUGGGGUGUGUGUGUGCAGUGUGCUUGUGUAUUGUAUGUAUGCGGUGUUUGUGUGCAGUGUGUGUGCGGUGUGUGUGAUUGUAGUAUGUGUGUGCACGGUGUAUGUGUUUGUACUGUAUGUGUGUUUUGUGUUUGGUGUGUUUGUGUUUACUGUAUGUGUGUGGUGUGUGUGUGGUGUAUGUGUGGGGUGUAUGUGUGCAGUGUGUUUGUGGAGUGAAUGUAUGUGGUGUCGGUGUGCGGUAUGUGUGUGCGGUGUAGAUGUUUGUAGUGUGCGUGUGCGGUGUAUGUGUUUAUAGUGUAUGUGUGAGGUUUGUUUUUGGUGUGUUUGUGUGUGUGUUGUGUGUGUGUGUGGUGUGUGUUUGGUGUGUUUGUUUGUAUGUGUGCUGUGUGUGUGUGUGGUGUGUGUGUUUGGUGUGUGUAAUAUAGUGUCUGUGUGUGGUGUGUAUGUGUGUGGGUUAGGUUAAGAGUUAAGACUAAAUUUUGUCUACCAUCUAAAGAUUGUACCUAGGUUGCUUCUGAUACUGGAGGAAUGUUAUACUGGCUAUUCCAUUGCUAUAAAAGUACAAGACCUCAGAGAUUUAUAGCUAUGUUUUCUACAUAUGGUUUCAGCCUUCCUUUCUGUCCUUUCGGUCCAAUGCAA
rnacentral:lncRNA from 1 species